rnacentral:rRNA from 1 species
ACGGGUGAGUAAAGCAUCGGAACGUAUCCUGGAGUGGGGGAUAACGUAGCGAAAGUUACGCUAAUACCGCAUAUUCUGUGAGCAGGAAAGCAGGGGAUCGCAAGACCUUGCGCUCUGGGAGCGGCCGAUGUCGGAUUAGCUAGUUGGUGGGGUAAAGGCCUACCAAGGCGACGAUCCGUAGCGGGUCUGAGAGGAUGAUCCGCCACACUGGGACUGAGACACGGCCCAGACUCCUACGGGAGGCAGCAGUGGGGAAUUUUGGACAAUGGGCGCAAGCCUGAUCCAGCCAUGCCGCGUGAGUGAAGAAGGCCUUCGGGUUGUAAAGCUCUUUCGGCGGGGAAGAAAUUGCACGGGUUAAUACCCUGUGUAGAUGACGGUACCCGAAUAAGAAGCACCGGCUAACUACGUGCCAGCAGCCGCGGUAAUACGUAGGGUGCGAGCGUUAAUCGGAAUUACUGGGCGUAAAGCGUGCGCAGGCGGUUUGGUAAGUCAGAUGUGAAAUCCCCGGGCUCAACCUGGGAACUGCAUUUGAGACUGCCAGGCUGGAGUUUGGCAGAGGGGGGUGGAAUUCCACGUGUAGCAGUGAAAUGCGUAGAGAUGUGGAGGAACACCGAUGGCGAAGGCAGCCCCCUGGGCCAAUACUGACGCUCAUGCACGAAAGCGUGAGGAGCAAACAGGAUUAGAUACCCUGGUAGUCCACGCCCUAAACGAUGUCAACUAGGUGUUGGGAGGGUUAAACCUUUUAGUGCCGUAGCUAACGCGUGAAGUUGACCGCCUGGGGAGUACG